GGGUGGUGAGAAGCGGAAUGCUCGCAAUGACACACCGGUCCGAAGUGACCGUCAAUCUGGUUGUGAGUGAAAGUCCCUGAACAUGACGCCGAAAGGGUUGCGCCCAUAGGAGGGUGAUCGCGGACAAGCGAUGACCGAGCCAAGACGCCACGGCGGAGCUGGUCGGAGCAAUGAGCCGCUAGUCGUUAACAAGCAAAGUGACCUUCAGUCAACUAAAUAGGGCUUACUCUCUGAACACCACC
rfam:Toxocara canis scaffold311, whole genome shotgun sequence.